rnacentral:tRNA from 1 species
GCCGAAGUGGCGGAAUGGCAGACGCGCUGCGUUCAGGGCGCAGUGUCCUCACGGGCGUGGGAGUUCAAAUCUCCCCUUCGGCACCA